UACAGAGGGGGCAAGCGUUGUUCGGAAUUACUGGGCGUAAAGGGCGCGUAGGCGGCCUGCUAAGUCGAACGUGAAAUCCCCGGGCUCAACCCGGGAACUGCGUCCGAUACUGGCAGGCUUGAAUCCGGGAGAGGGAUGUGGAAUUCCAGGUGUAGCGGUGAAAUGCGUAGAUAUCUGGAGGAACACCGGUGGCGAAGGCGGCAUCCUGGACCGAGAUUGACGCUGAUGCGCGAAAGCCAGGGGAGCAAACGGG
rnacentral:rRNA from 1 species